rnacentral:rRNA from 1 species
AACGGCCGCGGUAUUUUGACCGUGCUAAGGUAGCGUAAUCACUUGUCUUUUAAAUGAGGACCCGUAUGAAUGGUAGAACGAGGGCUUUACUGUCUCCCCCCUCUAGUCAAUGAAAUUGAUCUACCCGUGCAGAAGCGGGUAUAAAAAUACAAGACGAGAAGACCCUUUGGAGCUUAAAACAUUAGACUAACUAAGUCAAGACCCACAAACACACGUAAACAAAUUAAAUGCUAGUCAAUGUUUUCGGUUGGGGCGACCACGGGGGAAAACAAAGCCCCCACGCAGAAUAGGGACCCCCCCCCCUAAACCAAAAGCCACACCUCCAAGUCACAGAAAAUCUGACUUAAAGAUCCGGCCAAGCCGAUCAACGAACCAAGUUACCCCAGGGAUAACAGCGCAAUCCCCUCCGAGAGGCCCUAUCGACGAGGGGGUUUACGACCUCGAUGUUGGAUCAGGACAUCCUAAUGGUGCAGCAACUAUUAAGGGUUCGUUUGUUCAACGAUUAAAGUCCUACGUGAUCUGAG